AGAAGAGGAAGGAGGACGGAGAAACGCCUCAAACCCAAACCGAAGCACCCUCAAUCUUAGGUCUCCUACUACAGCUAUUCAGAGUAUCAAGAGAAGUGGUCUGAGUGUGGAUCGUUCGUUUCCAGCAAGAAACGGGCAAGAACACGAGGGGAAGAGUCUUACAAGUUUUCAGAGAAGACGAGGCCAAAAAUAGCAUUGGGAAACAAAAUGGGACACGUGUCAAGCGUCCAUUGGAGAAGAAAAUCAAAAAAAUAUUUCGCGUGGAGCUGGAUCGAAGGCCGGUGGCCCGCUACCCGAGUCCACGACCCGAUGACUCGCGCUCAACCUGGAAUACCGACCCGGCUCCUCGUUGCCACGCGUCAGCGUAAAAGAAUUCAAAUUUCCAGCGCGUCUUCCCGGUUUCGAACCUACGACUCGUCCACGGCUGACCGUUCAUCGGGCGCCACGUGGCAAUACCUCAGCGCGCGUCUUCCCUCCUCAUGCGUGUCCGUACGCGCGCGUGUGAGCGCGUGCAUGCGCGUGAGUUGCUGUUUUCAGCCUAUUCGACCUCUAUUUGACCGAUUUUCGUUUCGAUUCCCGUGCUAAUCCUAUUUUACUGUGAACUAGGUCUCUGUAUAGAUAAUUCAUAAUUUUUGGAUUCUGUUACGACUGUAAUCAAGCUCGGGAAGGCACGCGACAUUCUGUACUAGUCGAGGUGGGGAGGUGUUCGAGAGCUGCAUUAUCACAGAGGGGUGUCGUUCCGGAGCGUCAGUCUAUUAGAGUCU